ensembl:ncRNA K01A6.19 ncRNA
UCCAGAAAUUGGCCCCAAUCUAUUCAGUCUUUCCGAACCGUUUUCUGUAUGUGUAAGUGUCUGUGUUGUGUGAAUGUGCGGCGAUUGUGUGAGAGACCGAGAAAACGAACGAACGACGCUAAGAAAAAUGUUCACUUCUCAC